rnacentral:rRNA from 1 species
ACUCAAUAGAUACCCGGGUAGUCCUGGCAGUAAACGGUGCACGUUUGGUGUGGGCGCAAUCGACCGCGUCCGCGCCGGAGCUAAACGCGUUAAACGUGCCGCCUGGGAAGUACGGUCGCAAGAUUAAAACUCAAAGAAAUUGACGGGGACCCGCACAAGCGGUGGAGUAUGUGGCUUAAUUCGAUGCAACGCGAAGAACCUUACCUGGUCUUGACAUGCAUUGUGUCUCCGGUGAAAGCCGGAUAGGGUAGCAAUACCCGCUUUGCACAGGUGCUGCAUGGCUGUCGUCAGCUCGUGUCGUGAGAUGUUGGGUUAAGUCCCGCAACGAGCGCAACCCCGUGUGAUUCGUUGCCACCCGGUUUACCGGCGCACUCGAAUCAGACUGCCUCGAUCAACGAGGAGGAAGGUGGGGAUGACGUCAAGUCCGUAUGGCCCUUACGACCAGGGCUGCACACGUACUACAAUGCUCAGCACAAUGUGACCCGAAGCCGCGAGGCGGAGGAAAUCAGCAAAA